GAUGAACGCUGGCGGCGUGCCUAAUACAUGCAAGUCGAGCGAACAGACGAGGAGCUUGCUCCUCUGACGUUAGCGGCGGACGGGUGAGUAACACGUGGAUAACCUACCUAUAAGACUGGGAUAACUUCGGGAAACCGGAGCUAAUACCGGAUAAUAUAUUGAACCGCAUGGUUCAAUAGUGAAAGACGGUUUUGCUGUCACUAAUAGAUGGAUCCGCGCCGCAUUAGCUAGUUGGUAAGGUAACGGCUUACCAAGGCAACGAUGCGUAGCCGACCUGAGAGGGUGAUCGGCCACACUGGAACUGAGACACGGUCCAGACUCCUACGGGAGGCAGCAGUAGGGAAUCUUCCGCAAUGGGCGAAAGCCUGACGGAGCAACGCCGCGUGAGUGAUGAAGGUCUUCGGAUCGUAAAACUCUGUUAUUAGGGAAGAACAAAUGUGUAAGUAACUAUGCACGCCUUGACGGUACCUAAUCAGAAAGCCACGGCUAACUACGUG
rnacentral:rRNA from 1 species